rnacentral:rRNA from 1 species
AACGCUGGCGGCGCGCUUAAUACAUGCAAGUCGAGCGAGAACCUGGGCUUCGGCCCUGGGGACAGCGGCGAACGGGUGAGUAACACGUGGGUAAUCAACCCUCGACACUGGGAUAGCCCGGGGAAACCCGGAUUAAUACCGGAUACCCCAUCUGGCCUUCGGGCCGGCUGGAAAAGGUAGCUUCGGCCUCCGGUCGGGGACGAGCCCGCGGCGGAUUAGCUUGUUGGUGGGGUAAUGGCCCACCAAGGCGACGAUCCGUAGCUGGUCUGGGAGGACGAUCAGCCACACUGGGACUGAGACACGGCCCAGACUCCUACGGGAGGCAGCAGUAGGGAAUCUUGCGCAAUGGGCGAAAGCCUGACGCAGCGACGCCGCGUGAGGGAAGAAGGCCUUCGGGUUGUAAACCUCUUUCAGGAGGGACGAAGCCACUCGGGUUAACAGCCCAGAGGGUGACGGUACCUCCAGAAGAAGCCCCGGCUAACUACGUGCCAGCAGCCGCCGUAACAC